UCCCUUGGGAUGAGUCCAAGACUACAACAU
rnacentral:piRNA from 1 species